GAUCUAUGUUCAUUUCUCCUAGGCAUGUUUUGAGAUCCAGAAGCGGGUGAAAGCAGUUAAUGUGCAACAGGAAUCUGAGUUUCAGACACAAACCUCCACCUUUCAAUAGACCCUGCUGACAUGCUGCAAGCUAAAUAUUAAACAUUUUUUUUUAUCAAUUGAAGUCCUGCCUGGGGAGAAGAAACAGUUAAAGAAAUGUCUCAAUUAUACUUGCAAUCAGCUAAUCAGACUUUGUGUGCAUCUGUGGAUGGUACAGAACUGAAAUCAAGCUCUGAUAAUGAAACCACGAAUGAAAAAUGGACCGAAGACUCCUUUCCAGGAUUAGAAAUACUGUGCACAAUUUAUGUUACAUAUGCUGUGAUCAUUUCAGUGGGUCUCCUUGGAAAUGCAAUACUCAUCAAAGUUUUUUUCAAGAUUAAAUCAAUGCAGACGGUUCCAAACAUCUUCAUCACCAGUCUGGCGUUUGGAGACCUGCUGCUUUUGUUAACGUGUGUGCCUAUAGAUGCAACACGUUACAUUGUGGAUACCUGGCUCUUUGGAAGAAUUGGGUGCAAGCUGCUGUCUUUUAUCCAGUUAACAUCAGUUGGAGUAUCAGUGUUUACCCUGACUGUUCUCAGUGCUGACAGCAAUGUUGGUCAUUUUAGGUACAGAGCCAUUGUUAAACCCUUGGAACUGCAGACUUCAGAUGCGCUCCUGAAGACCUGCUGUAAAGCGGGCUGUGUUUGGAUUGUCUCCAUGAUAUUUGCUAUCCCAGAGGCUGUUUUUUCAGAUUUGUAUUCUUUCAGCAAUCCUGAGAAAAAUGUAACUUUUGAGGCAUGUGCCCCCUAUCCUGUAUCUGAGAAGAUCCUGCAGGAAGCUCACUCCCUGGUUUGCUUCUUAGUGUUCUAUAUUGUGCCCUUAGCUGUCAUUUCUGUCUACUACUUUCUUAUCGCCAGAACGUUAUACAAAAGUACAUCCAACAUGCCCGCAGAGGAACACUCUCAUGCCCGUAAGCAGAUUGAAUCCCGCAAGAGAGUUGCAAAGACAGUGCUGGUGCUUGUGGCUCUGUUUGCCUUCUGCUGGCUGCCCAACCACAUCCUCUACCUGUACCGCUCUUUCACAUACCACACUUCUGUCAAUGCUUCCACCUUUCAUCUGAUAGCAACUAUUUUUUCCCGCGCCUUGGCCUUCAGCAAUUCCUGCGUCAACCCUUUUGCUCUUUAUUGGCUGAGUAAAAGUUUCCGGCAACAUUUUAAAAAGCAAAUCUCAUGCUGCAAGGCAGCAUUCUGUGCAAAGCCUCCCAGUGCUCCCCGGAGCAGUUCUCCUACCAGAGCCCUGUCAGUCACAGGCAGCAUGCGUGGCUCAGAAAUCAGUGUUACACUGCUAACAGAUUAUAGCAUCACGAAAGAAGAGGAAAGUGUUUAGUCCAUGUGGGAAGAAGACAGAAACUGAGUCAUUGCUAUCAAGUCACUGCAACUGGUAUCCUGGAAAGAGGUGCCAGGGCGUGUCCUAUCUGUGAAAGUGUGUUCAUCAGGAGUUGCUCAUUUUUCAAAAUAUAGAAUAAAGAAAUCAAAUUGUGGGGGAAGAAGCUGCAACAACUGAACCUUCCAGCACAAGUUCAAAGGGAUCACUCAUGUUCCCAGGCAUGGACACAGAUUCCUAGCUGGAAUUCCUGGACUGGGCAGGAGGGGGCUUAGCAGAGUUGGUGCAAGAAUUGGCUGUAAGGAUAGUUUCGUUCCUGGUGACUUGCUUUUUGGGUCAUUACUGAGAGCUCCCUCUGACAACUACUUGCAUCCGCAGCAAGCAAGCAAAGCCACUUGGUCACAACGCGAUCAACCAGGCACAUUUUUGAUUUAUUUAUUUUCUCGUCCUGAAUGUUAAAAAUGGGUAAACACAUGAGAAAGAAUGUUAAAAUGAAAGAAGGCUAAGGUUUGUAGCACUGUAAAGUAAAAAAAGAAAAAACAUUAUGGGCCAGAUCCACAGUAGCUGUUGCUCAGUCAGUGACUUAGAAAUUCUUGGUAAGACCUGACUGCUUUGUAGUGAGAUGGAUGUUCCUAAGGAAGUCAAGGGAACGAGCAGGUGAUAGAUAAUUUCUCUGAGGAAGUUAUAAUCACCUUUAACCACACUUGUAAAAUUCUUUGUGAUAUAUGGGUAAAACAUCUCAAUAGUGCAGAAGUUUUUUAUUGUCACAGUGAUUUAAUAUCAAUAAAUUGGGGUGGAUCUGUAUCAAGAGUUCUAUUUGGAAUUUACGGUGCACUUCUGAAGUGCUCAAACAUCCCCUCCUGCCUUACUUUAAAUCCGAAAGUGGUCUUGAGUGCACAACCUGGAUUUCUCUAAGAUGGAACUGUGUGUCCAAUCCACCAAACCAGACUAGGGUGAGUUUGAAGUGAAAAAUGUAGAGCGUCAGACUGACCCUUUACCUGCACAUAUCCACUCCUGCUGUAGUGUAUGUGGUUGUAUCUAAGUGGCCUACACAUCUUCAAGCACACUGGGAGAGCUGGAUUUUUUCUACUAUACUAAUUUUCUAUUCUUCAGGUUGUAUCCCUUUUUAAUAUUAAGAUAGGCUGUCUUAAUGCCAUAGGCCUUCUAAUCUCAAAUCCAUUGAUUUUAUGACUGGGCUUGAAGAGUCAUAUCAGAACAGUCUGUCCAUGCUCAGCGGCACUGCUGGCAGGGACUGCCUUCCCAUCAGGAAGUACAGGAGGCAAGUCUUCUCCCUCCCAUGUUACAAAAUACUGGAGUGACACUUAUUUUUAUGAAUUUUAUGUUCCCCGAACCAAAAUUUUGUUCUGUGGAAGACGGUGAUAGAAAACACAAUAGAUUUUCCAUUGUUUAAAUGAAGGGGCUUCUACUCCAAGGAAGAAUUUGUGCGUUAAAACGUAGAACAGAAGUCGCAACAUAUGAACUAAAAUAAGUCUGUCAGUCACAGAAGCUUCAAUUUUAAAUAACCCUUGAAGGUGUAGCCCCCCUUCAACUGCACAGAGCCCCUAAGCAACAUAUGGCUGGAAAUCCAUGCAUCAUUAACUAAGUUGAUUAUAAGAUGAGAAAAUGUAUUUACAGACUCUCUCUGUUCCCUGCUCUAAUCAGAAAAAUAAAGCUGAACUAUAAAUCCCAGGGGCAUUGCAAUACAGCCCCUGUCAUCAUCAUAAACCAGUUAAUGACGGACCAGUUUAAUCCCAUCAGACAUGGCCUUGUUUUACUAUGGUACUCAUGUUACAAGCUGCAAGGCUACAAGCACUAAUUUUCAAAGGGUUUCCUCCUUUUAUUGUACGAAUUGCACACCAGGACAGGAUCACUGAAAUAAAUGGAAAUCCAAUCGUACAGAAAUACAAUUUAUGGCAAAGCAGACUCCAGAGGCCUUAUUUUACUCUCUUUGCCUCAAUGUAACACACUGCCUGGAAGAGAGCCAUGUACAAAUAUGAACAUGUUGCACUGCUGUUUUCUUCUUCUCUCUUUCCUUCAUGGAGCUGCAGGGUGAGGCUGAAAUAAGUAGAUAAGCCUACACACUUAAGAACUUACAUUUAUCUUCCUGUAUCUUACUAUAGGAAAUUCUAAACAAAGGAAAUAUCCACCAACAAUACCGUUGCUUACAGCAUUUUCUAUUUUAGCUUAGUAAUGCCUUUGGGAAACAGAUCUACGUGUUUCUGGACUUCACAAUGUGUCUCUGUCAGAGACCAAAUUUCCCACAGCAAAAUCUUUUAACCCUUAAAACCCAGUUUCCUAAUUCACCAUUUCUCUUCGUUUGCAUGCAGCUACUUUUUGCUUGUGUCACUCCUCCUCUAACUGGAUUGUCUUUCUACUGAGAAUAUAUCUUGUUACAAAACUGAUGGUUUUGCUAUAUUCUGCACAUGUUCUGUUUAAAGACUGGCGAUAUUUCAAGCCACAAUUUAAUUAUUCUGUGUACUUUAUGCAUUGAUAAUUCUGUACAUUCAGAUCUUCAUGGCAUGAUAUACUAGAGUGAUAUAUGGGUCGACAUAUAUUUUUGUCUAACCAAUCUGAUAUUAUUUAUUACAUCGACUCCCCACAAUAUCAUUAUGCAUAAAAGGUCUCCACAUUACCAUAACUGGAUUUAGGGGAAAAGCGUUGUUUCCUUUGCAAUCUUUUCUCGGUGUUCCAAAACCAGAUUCUCUCACCCCUUAGUAAUACAGGUGUAAUUCUAUAAGAGCGUAUGGGAAUACCAUCUAUUUACAAAAGUACUGAGUAUUAUCUAGCAAAUAAAAGGGAUGAAUAAUUAGGGGUUCACUAUUUAUGUCCACAGCGUAAGAACAGGUAGGAAAAAAGGCACAAAGUACUGAAAGGCUGACUCCCUCAAAGGUUCUGUCCAUAUGGAGUCAUACUGAGAAAGUAAAUACAAUUCUAGGACGUACUUUUUUUUUUAGUUUGUUUUGUGAAUGAGAUGUACACAUGUGCACAUUAGCAACAGUUUCAAUAUCAGUAGUUAGUUAAUCCCCCCCCCAUAUCCACAAUAAUUAAGAAACCUAUGUCAAAACACUGCUAAAGUGAGAGUGACUGGGGUAUAAAAGUUAGUUACACAAUUAUAGCCAUUUUAAAGCUCCCUCUCCUGUUCCCAUAAAAUUUUAUUUUACAUGGGCUGCCUGUUGACGCUCCUGUGUUUCUGCUGAGAAUAUUACAAUUAAGGAAUAACCCAAAGGUACACACAGCUACAGCACUUACACGUUUCAAUCAGCGUUACUUUAAAAAUGUAAUAUGGGCUUUAAUCAGCAUUUAGUUGUUGGCUCCGACACGGAUGGUCCCCUCAGUGCAAGGUGAACUGUGACGUGGAAUUUCCAUGCAUGGGACACGAUAUUGAAUUUUCAGUACAUCUGUACUGGUUCUGUAAUUUUUCCUACCAUUAAGACUCCUCAUCACUCUCAGUAAUCUGUGUAACAGCUAAAGGCUCCAGACCCCUGAAAAGCUCAAAGAGGCCUGUCUGUACUUAGUCAUUAGUCACUGCCUUGACUUAACAUAACAAAGCAGCUCAGGAAAAUAGCGUCUACCUAAUUAAGGAUUAGCCAGCAAAUUGCUGGUUCCCCUAUUAAAGGGAGCAAAACACUUUAGGAAAACCAAUUCAUCUGACUUUUAGUAGGUGGUACCUCUAGAACAACAUUCCAGUUGCAUCUUUAGAACAUCAAUCAGCUCUGAUGAGCCAAAACUGGCUUGUAUCACACCGACACAGAUACAGAAUCAUCAUGCUAAUGCCUCCUUUUCAUAUUUACUUUGAGACAUUUUGCUAGAAUUUAAAACAUCAUUUCUUGACAGCUUGGACUGGUCCGAGCUGUGGAAUGCUUGAGCUCUUUGCACUCUCCUCAGAAGAUGCAGCUUGCAGCAGCAGUGCUUGUGCAGCCAUGAUCUAUGUAAUUUCAAGCGUGAGAUUGACAGGAAAGUUGUACUGACCCCACAAAAGGAUGAGUUUCCAGCUGAGUCGUCUCCCUGGACUGUUCACUGUGUCUCUACCAAAGGAUGAGGUAACAGAUGGCAGUGACACCAUUGGAGGCUGUGCCGCACCUGCUGCUGUCACACAUUCUGUUAGGCAAAGGAAGUGUGAGGGAACUCGAGGCAGUUUGUCCUCAUAACUACAUCAAAGUGUGCAGAGCAGAUUUACUGAGCAUUAACCCCACGGCGCAGAAGCAGAAGCACUCUCUCACUCCCAUUGGAUUGAGAAUAAAUUUAGAUUUCCUGCUCCCCAGGACUAAUGCAGUGCCUUGCUGAAGGCAGAUCUGCACAGCAGGGAAAGCUGUACAGACCUCACUGCAAACACUCAGGUAAUAAACAUUAAAAACCCUGCAAAAUUAAAGCAAGCAGUUUAAGAUUUAAAUUAUAUUUCUCUUACAAGUUCAUGGUUAUGAUUAUCUGAUUUCCAAAUAUACACCCAAUUCCAAAUUUUAUAAGCAAGCACAGUUUAUGUCAAGCCACUUAUGCUCCACUCCAAAAUCCAGUAACUGUUUGAAAGUGAAGACAAAUGUCCCUCAGGUGGUAAGUUUAUAAGGGAUCACAAAAGCAAUCUUUGGACAACUACCGCAAUAGACCUGCCUAGAGAAAAUUCUUGAAGCAUCAAAGAUGUCAUUAACUAGGCUGGAUGUUCUUUGUGCAACAGCAAAGGUUACUAGAACUCUAUAUUUAUAUCCUCAGCAAUUUUGUCCGACAGCCUGGUGCCCAGGCAGGGAGCUGAUGUUCAUCUCUCCCUGCAGGACUUCACAACCACAUGUCUUUGCUUUUAUUAUCGUUCCAGUCUUUAUAUUUGUUCCUGGUAUACUGAUUUCCAGAAAACUUCUGUUUAUUAUUUUUAUUUCUGAGUGGAAAGAUUGUUUUGCCCCUGGCAACCAGCCACUGCCUGCUUUGCUGGGGCUGUUCAGCUCAGUUUUCAUUUAUAACAUGUACACUGAUACACGGGGUUUUAUAACUCUAGGUUAAGGUUUGCAAAACAAACAUGAAGAGUGUGCUGCUUCAUCCUCUAAAUAGAAAUACUUUAAAAUACAAUAGCAAUUAAAAUUCAGUUUUCAUGUACUACUGUCUGGGCUACACCGUAGAAACCACUAGAUGGCACUAGAUGAAGAGCUUUUAAAAGAACUGGGAGAAAUUUGUACUUAAAAUAUUUAAGUAUCCACAGACGGGGUAGUAAUUGCAGACUUCAUCAACGCAAAAGGAAUUGAGUGUUUUGAAGCCAAACUUCAUCCCACUAAUACGAUGUACCAACCCUUUCCUAAGGGAACAAAACGCAGGACAGCCUCAGCUAAGAAGGGAGAGAGAAGAAAUGUGAUUUCUUGACAUUUGGAGUGCCACUUCAAUCUCAUUUUUCUAUUUUUGGACCUUUGCCUCUAGUAGGACAUGCGUGCACUUCCAGUGCCGAACGGCAGCCAGCCUUGCACAGCACCACUGGCAGCAAACCGCUUCACUAUCCAGUGUUGUCGUAGGUGCAAUAAGGAAAAGCAGGCAGCAGGGAGGACUUUCUGUGCCCUAAACGUUUAUUUCUCAUGUGAGUAGUCUCCAUGCAAAGCCGAUCAAGGUACAGCUUCUCGCCCAAAGCAGUGUGGUGCGCAGGAGCAGCUGCCUUCAUGAGGAGCCCCGGCCUGCGGUGAAACAUCGCGGCAACCCCAAGGUGAAGGGAAAGGAAAAAAAACCACGGCGAGAGAAAAAGGGGCUGGGCCGCUGUGGCAACCGCCCCGUCCCUCGACGGUCGCGCUGCCCUCAGGGCCCGCCCAUGCCCCGCCCCCUGUGCCCGCCCUCCCCAGGAAGCGCUUCCCCUCCCCACCGCUCGUCUCAUUGGCUACAGCUCCGGGGUAAAGGGGCGGGGCAGGCGGAAGGUACGGCGGCUGGUGAGGUGUUUCCGGUACCGUGUGCGCGCCGGGGCCCGGGACGGUCGCGGCGGCCGCGUGAGGUGCCGCCACCGAGAGGGGCGUGCCUCAGACGGCGGCGGCAGGAGCGCUGGUGUCCGAGGCCCAGUGAACGGGGCAGGAUGAGCGGCGAGGAUGGAAACGAGGAGUUCUACCGGCAGCUGCAGCUCCAGCAGCAGUACGAGGCCAAGCCAGCCGAGGGCGAAGGCGAGGGCGAGUCCGACCCCUUUACCUACGUGGACCCGGCGGACGGGGCUGCCUACGAGUGGGACUUGGAGAAGAAGGCCUGGUUCCCCAAGAUAACAGAAGAUUUCCUGGCAACCUAUCAUGCCAACUAUGGCUUCCAUGCAGAUGAGACAGAUACUUCAUCUGUUUCUGGUACAGCCACUGAAAGUAAGCAACCAGUAAGUUCUAAGAAAUCAGGAACACAUCCAUCAGCAAAUGAGACAGGACAAAAACAAACAGAUCCAAAACAAAAAUUGGAAAAAAGGAAGCUAGAGCCAGGGUGGUUUCAUGUUGAAGAAGACAGGAACACAAAUGUUUAUGUGACAGGUUUACCUCCAGACAUUACGAAAGAUGAAUUUGUACAAGUCAUGUCAAAAUGUGGUAUCAUCAUGCGAGAUCCUCAGACAGAAGAACACAAGAUCAAACUGUACAAAGAUAAGGAAGGAAAUCUUAAAGGAGAUGGCCUCUGUUGUUAUCUGAAGAGAGAAUCAGUUCAACUUGCUUUGAGGCUUCUGGAUGAAGCAGAAAUCCGAGGCUAUAAAUUGCAUGUUGAAGUUGCAAAGUUCCAACUGAAGGGGGAGUAUGAUGCAAGCAAAAA